GUCGCUCAGUAUGGAUGGGCAUUCGUGAUUUUAAGCAAGAUAUGAAAAAUUUAGACCGAAACAAUCAGAGGACACUUCAAUUUAUCUGCAGUCUUGGUAAGACAAAACGGCUGUUUUGUUAUUAUUAUGUGUCAAAACUUUCACAAAGAGCUUUAUGCUAGGUAUCAUUUUGAUACAGUCUUUAUGAAAACAUUUAUUGCCAACCGACUAAAAAUAGUAAAAAAGGUUCAAUCCUCACAUAAUACAGCUUUUGACUGCUGCUCCAAUACAUUUACAGUGGCCUUGUACAGUAGUCUUUUGGUUCAUAAUUGUGACUAUCUUGUAGAAGUUAAAUAUUCUGUUUAUAAAGUUCAUUAAAUCUAAAGGACAUGUUUGAAUCAGAAUCAAAAUGAUUAUGUGAGCCACUGUUGUAUGAAAACG
rnacentral:lncRNA from 1 species